CCUACGGGAGGCAGCAGUGAGGAAUAUUUGUCAAUGGACGCAAGUCUGAACCAGCCAAGUAGCGUGCAGGAUGACGGCCCUCCGGGUUGUAAACUGCUUUUAUUUAGGAAUAAAAUGGGGCUCGUGAGCCCCGUCUUGUGUAUACCAUCAGAAAGAGUCCCGUCGACUUCCGUGCCAGUAGGCGCGGUAAUAGGGAAGGUGCGGGCGUUAUGCAGAUUUAUUGGGUUUAAGGGGGGGGUAGGCCGGCUUUUAAGUCCGCUGUGAAAGUCCGGGGCUCAACCGUGGAAUUGCAGUUGAAACUGGAGGCCUUGAGUGCACACAGGGUGGCCGGAAUUCACGGUGUAGCGGUGAAAUGCUUAGAUA
rnacentral:rRNA from 1 species